rnacentral:rRNA from 1 species
AGGAUGAACGCUGGCGGCGUGCUUAACACAUGCAAGUCGAACGGUGAAGCCAAGCUUGCUUGGUGGAUCAGUGGCGAACGGGUGAGUAACACGUGAGCAACCUGCCCUGGACUCUGGGAUAAGCGCUGGAAACGGUGUCUAAUACUGGAUAUGAGCUCUCAUCGCAUGGUGGGGGUUGGAAAGAUUUUUCGGUCUGGGAUGGGCUCGCGGCCUAUCAGCUUGUUGGUGAGGUAAUGGCUCACCAAGGCGUCGACGGGUAGCCGGCCUGAGAGGGUGACCGGCCACACUGGGACUGAGACACGGCCCAGACUCCUACGGGAGGCAGCAGUGGGGAAUAUUGCACAAUGGGCGGAAGCCUGAUGCAGCAACGCCGCGUGAGGGAUGACGGCCUUCGGGUUGUAAACCUCUUUUAGCAGGGAAGAAGCGAGAGUGACGGUACCUGCAGAAAAAGCGCCGGCUAACUACGUGCCAGCAGCCGCGGUAAUACGUAGGGCGCAAGCGUUAUCCGGAAUUAUUGGGCGUAAAGAGCUCGUAGGCGGUUUGUCGCGUCUGCUGUGAAAUCCCGAGGCUCAACCUCGGGCCUGCAGUGGGUACGGGCAGACUAGAGUGCGGUAGGGGAGAUUGGAAUUCCUGGUGUAGCGGUGGAAUGCGCAGAUAUCAGGAGGAACACCGAUGGCGAAGGCAGAUCUCUGGGCCGUAACUGACGCUGAGGAGCGAAAGGGUGGGGAGCAAACAGGCUUAGAUACCCUGGUAGUCCACCCCGUAAACGUUGGGAACU